GAAAAAAAGAAAAAAAAAAAAAAAUUAAGUGGAUACGUUUUCUCACGCUGAUGUUUAAAUACUUCCGUCAUAAGACGCAGUUAAUGUCGUAGCUGCACUUGUCGUGUUUCCAGAUGUCAAGGUUGACUCACCCAGUUUCUCAGAGUCAGAUGACAUAUUAGAUCCUGUCUUUAUUUCAGGUUUGGCUUUAGGGGGGGGUCGUACUUUGAGGUCCAUGAAAUCGCUAAUUAAACCUGGUUUUGUUAUCUUACUGUUAUCAACGUCCUUCUUACCAGUUAGCAGCUUGACCACUGUAGACAUGUAAGGACGAAGCUUUGGAGUAUCUUGGGUGCAGAGUAAACCAAUCUUUAGAAACUUACAAGCCUCCUCAGCAUCAAAGUCACCAUUUAGUGAUGUAUCCACCAGCCCUACCAGCUCCUUUCGCUCAUAAAGUUCCCAGGUCUGCAACAGGAGAACACAAAUAUGAUGAGCAGUGCCGAAAUGAUCUAUUUUGCUAUAAGCAUGAAUUCUAUGCAGCUUAAUACAACAUAACAAAAUGUGACCAUUUUCCUGGUAUCCACCAUAUUAUCCAAGGAUGAUAAAUAUGGUAAAAAAAAAAUGCAAGAAUUGUGUAUCAACCUACAUGAAAACAUCUGAUUGACCUCCUUCCAUACCUUUGGUAGCAAAUUUCCAGAAGCAGUUAGCUGCCGCUUGGUUUGAUGCAUAGGUUGGAAAUUGUGUUGCAGAGUUUGAUUGGUUUUGGCAACUUCAGAAAUGAAAAUUUUAGAUAAAAGUUGAUGGGAAGAAGGCAUGAUAAGGACUGAACUUUGCACGACCUCUAUAAAUUUAUUUGAAAGCAAAGGAAGUGUUUAGUAAAAAUUAAAAUGGAUUAGAUAAAUGGACCAGAUAUCCAAGUCAGUUAGGACUGAAAUUUAAAAAAUGUAUUAAACUAAUAGAUUGAUUGAAUUUAGUAUUUCAUUUAGUACAUUGAAUUAGUAUAUAAAUUGAUCUAGUUCAAAUCUGACCCUCAUGCCUACUGUUUCGAUAGAAAUAUGGCGAUAGUAUGCAAUAGGAUAAUCUGUGACAGUUGAAAUUGUCUUUCUUUCUUUACAAAUAUUUUAUUCCCAUUUCUCUUGCCUCAUAUUGAAAAAGUUUGUACCUAGUAAUAUUCUUGAUCAUGUUGGGCAUCAUAAGAGUUAGUGAGAUCAACAUUUUUGCUUGUCUUUUCGAGUGCGAAUUCUGAUUAUGUAUUCACACAAUUAUUACACAUAAAAGAAAAAGUUUGAAGAAAACAUGUCUCAAACUUGGAAACAUAAUAUAUUUGUCAUUUUACCUAUGCAAUUGCCAGUUCAAUUAUCAUGAUAGUGAGGAUUUGAGAAAUUCAUACCCUUUCUAAGAGAUAUUGUUCAUCAAUAGGUAAUCGUGUGUUUGUGUUGCAUCUCCCACUGACAAUUUCCACAAGGAGGACACCAAAACUAUAAAUAUCUGCUUUCCUUGUCAGCUGGCCCCUUAUUGCAUACUCUGGUGCCAAAUAACCUAUUGUUCCAGCCACACGUGUACUGACAUGUGUCAUGUUGGGAGGGAUAAGCUUGGCUAGACCAAAAUCUGAAAUUUUGGGAGUUAAGUCUUUGUCAAGGAGAAUAUUGCUUGCUUUGAUAUCUCUGUGAACAAUGUAUGGUCGUAAAUCCUCAUGAAGAAAGGCAAGCCCUCGUGCUACACCAAUGCAGAUUUUAGAUCGUGUUCUCCAACUAAACUGGAUGUUACUGUGACUUUCUCCAAGAAGAGUUUGUGCAAGACUAUUAUUCUCAAGGUAGUUGUAGACUAAAAUUCUGUGAUUUCCUUCCACACAACAGCCAUAUAGCUUAACUAAAUUCUCAUGCUCUAUUUCUGAGAUCACAUUAAUCUCUGUUAAGAAUUCUUUCACUCCUUGUCUUGAUUCAGCAGAAAGAACUUUUAUAGCAGCAAUUCUCCCAUCUUUAAGCUUUCCCUUGUACACUGAACCAAAACCACCCUCACCAAUUUUAUUGGCCGUACUAAAAUCUUCAGUAGCAUUUCUUAAUUCCUUGUAAGUGUAAAGUUUAACAUUGUGAAUGCCUGCAACUUCUUCAUCAACUCCAAAAGAAUUUUUUGUUGAAGAAUCACUCUGACCAAAUAAGAAAGAAAAACAAUUCAUAAUUUUAUAAUAGACCAGUCUUCAAUACCAACUGUCAACAAAUGAUUAAAUGAACUUCUUCCAGGACCAGCUAACCCACAAAUUGAAAUAUAUAAGUAAAACCAAAACAGAAACUAAGACCAGAAACACCCGCUGAGAAAAACCCAGAGAGCAGAAGACGAGGAUUGAUCAUUAAGAAGAGAGAAAGAUAGAGUUUUAAAGGUUUAGAAGGAUUGGAGGACAGGUGUGAAAUAGAAUGGUAUAAGCAGUCUUGGCAAAGUCCAUGAAGGAACUUGGACAUCC
rnacentral:misc_RNA from 1 species